rnacentral:rRNA from 1 species
UACGUAGGUGGCAAGCGUUAUCCGGAAUGAUUGGGCGUAAAGGGUGCGCAGGCGGAACCAUAAGUCUGAAGUAAAAGCCAUCGGCUCAACCGAUGUAAGCUUUGGAAGCUGUGGAUCUGGAGUGCAGGAGAGGACAGUGGAAUUCCAUGUGUAGCGGUAAAAUGCGUAGAUAUAUGGAGGAACACCAGUGGCGAAGGCGGCUGUCUGGCCUGUAACUGACGCUGAGGCACGAAAGCGUGGGGAGCAAAUAGG